rnacentral:rRNA from 1 species
GACGUAGGGGGCAAGCGUUGUCCGGAUUUAUUGGGCGUAAAGCGCUCGCAGGUGGUUCGUCGCGUCGUGCGUGAAAGACCCCGGCUCAACUGGGGAGGGUCGUGCGAUACGGGCGGACUGGAGGCCAGUAGGGGGAUGCGGAAUUCCGGGUGUAGUGGUGGAAUGCGUAGAGAUCCGGAGGAACACCAGCGGCGAAGGCGGCAUCCUGGACUGGUCCUGACACUCAUGAGCGAAAGCGUGGGGAGCGAGCCGG